rnacentral:rRNA from 1 species
AGUGAACGCUGGCGGUAGGCCUAACACAUGCAAGUCGAACGGCAGCACAGUAAGCGCUUGCUCUUACGGGUGGCGAGUGGCGGACGGGUGAGGAAUACAUCGGAAUCUACUUUUUCGUGGGGGAUAACGUAGGGUAACUUACGCUAAUACCGCAUACGACCUACGGGUGAAAGCAGUGGAUCUUCGGACCUUGCGCGAUUGAAUGAGCCGCUGUCGGAUUAGCUAGUUCUCGGGGUAAAGGCCCACCAAUGCGACGUUCCCUAGCUGGUUAGAGUAGAUGAUCAGCCACACUGGAACGCAGACACGGUCCAGACUCCUACGGGAGGCAGCAGUGCGGAAUAUUGGGCAAUAGGCGCAAGCCUUCUCCAGCCAUACCGCGUGGGUGAAGAAGGCCUUCGGGUUGUAAAGCCCUUUUGUUGGGAAAGAAAAGCAGCAGAUUAAUACCCCGCUGUUCUGACGGUACCCAACGAAUAAGCACCGGCUAACUUCGUG